ensembl:snRNA U1 U1 spliceosomal RNA
AUACUUACCUGGCAGGAGAGAUACCAUGAUCUCAAAGCUGGUUUUCCCUGGGUGAGACUUAUCCACUGCAGUACAGAUGUGCUGAAUCCUGAGAUUUCCCCAAAUGUGGGAAAUUCAACUGCAUAAUUUGUGGUAGUGGGGGACUGCGUUGGAGCUCUCUCAAA